CCCUCGAUAGCUCAGUUGGUAGAGCGGUGGACUGUAGUCGGAAAUUAUGAAAGUUAUCCAUAGGUCGCUGGUUCAAAUCCGGCUCGAGGGA
rnacentral:tRNA from 1 species